UAAUACUUAACACUCCGAGCUUCUGGACCUACGAUAUUAUGCAUUACGGUCCUGAAGCCGAUAGGGUUUGUCUGGAAACGGACAGGCCUCCCGGUGCGGAAAGGAGGGAAUUGACAGCGAUC
rnacentral:ncRNA from 2 species